GGGUGUGAGGGCGAUCUGUCACCGCCUGGACUGCCAAAGGUGGUUUGGCUGAUCCGGCUGGCUAGGCUGUUUUCCUCUUCCUCCCUCACCACUCCAUGUGCAUCUUGGAGCUUGGAGCUGCAUGCUUGGCCGAAGAGGACGACCUUCCCUGAUACAGGAGGACCGCUCUUCCGUCAAGGCCUAGGAGUAGCUGCGUUCCCCUGCUACAACCCCCAAACGAGCUCUCAAAAGCCUCCUGGUUUGUGCGCUAACUUACACGGUGGCCCUAGCUGUAGGCAGGAUGACCGUAUCU
rnacentral:snRNA from 1 species